rnacentral:rRNA from 1 species
UAAGCUUGACAUCCCUCGGACAGGUGUUUAAUCACACCCUUCCUUCGGGACUGAGGUGACAGGUGGUGCAUGGUU